rnacentral:rRNA from 1 species
GAUGAACGCUGGCGGCGUGCCUAAUACAUGCAAGUCGAGCGAACAGAUGAGGAGCUUGCUCCUCUGACGUUAGCGGCGGACGGGUGAGUAACACGUGGAUAACCUACCUAUAAGACUGGGAUAACUUCGGGAAACCGGAGCUAAUACCGGAUAAUAUAUUGAACCGCAUGGUUCAAUAGUGAAAGACGGUUUUGCUGUCACUUAUAGAUGGAUCCGCGCCGCAUUAGCUAGUUGGUAAGGUAACGGCUUACCAAGGCAACGAUGCGUAGCCGACCUGAGAGGGGGGGGAGGCACAAGGAGGCAGAGCCACGGAACGGGCUCAGACGGGAGGGAGCCGGGGGGAGUGUGUGGAGAUGGGCGAAAGAUUGAAGGACUAUUUGAUGAUGAAAGAAGAAGUGUGUAAGAAACUAAAAAUCUGUUGAUAGGAAAGAAAAAAAAAGUAAGUGACAAUGACCGUCCAGACGGGGCGUAAAUAGAUAGGAAGGGCUAACUCUGUG